AGCCAACCAGUCCAAUUUUUCAUUACAUGGCAACUGUGACCUAAUUAAUGUGGCAACGUUAAAAGGUUACUCAAUACUGGAGUAACACAUACUGGAAGCUCUGCUCUUUGCUCUCGGCCUUCGGUUUUGUCUCUCUUGUUCUUCUUAUUCUUAAUGGGUUGUUCUGAUGGUCAACUUCAGGUAGGGCUCCACUUCAACGCUUGUCCUUA
rnacentral:lncRNA from 1 species